rnacentral:lncRNA from 1 species
UCAGCUAGUAACACAGGACACAGAGUAGCUAGCUAGGUUGUCACCGAUCACCUAGUGUGGUGGACUCGACGACGAUGGCGGUAAGGCUGACGCUGGUGGCGGCGCUGCUGUGCGCGGCGGCGGCGGCGGCGGCGGCGGCGCAGCAGGCGAGCAACGUGCGCGCGACGUACCACUACUACCGGCCGGCGCAGAACAACUGGGACCUGGGCGCGCCGGCGGUGAGCGCCUACACCUUUUUAAGUUUGAAGCUUGCCGCUUACACCUUUUUUCGAGAGUUUAUAGAAAUAAAAUGGGCCAGCCCAAGUAAGAGCGCCGUCAGCGCUAAUAUGCAGGGAUAGGCAGGGUAUGUUCCUUGGUGCCUCCGCAGUUAUCUUCGAAGGGUUGCUUGAUCCAACUAUUCUAGAAGCCCAGGCGUGUAACGAAGCUCUUGGUCUUGCUGCGGAUCUUCAUGUUCAUUUCGUGUGCGUUGCAUCGGACUGUCUCGAGGUGAUUUCAAAUAUUAAUAAUGGUGCCCCUUGCCGUUAUUUUGCUCUUUUAGAGGAGAUCAAGCACAGAAGACGCUCUAUCCAGGAUAUUCAGUUCGUGCAUGAGAAUAGAAAGCAUAAUGAGGAAGCCCAUGCCUUAGCUAAGGCGGCUGCUUCUCUCCCACCCAGGCGGCAUGUGUGGCUUACUGAUUUGCCCAAUAUCAUUUGUAUCACUAUGUGUUUGAACAUUGAAUAAAGGAUACAUUUUCGGCUCAAAAAAAAAUGCACGUUAACGGGCAAUGAAGGAGCCGAGUAGAAAUUGCUAUCAAAAAAAGGAAAUGCAUGAGGGUUGGACGUCUACCUAACCUGUAUACCUAAUUCUGUCACAUCGUGGUCUAUAAGAAUUUUUGGAAAGUCUUGGGAUUGAAUCCUUUUGUUCCUUCUCUACGAUCAAGGCUCUUUCAUUAUGCAGUAUCUUGAUUCGAUGUAUGACGGCUCUUGGAACGUUCUGAUAAGUCUUUGUGCUAAAACGUGAGAUGCCUUCAUCUUGGCAAUUGAAGCGGAAAGCCCCCAGUGCUUCCGCGUCACAACAAUUUGGGAUCUUGUUCUUAAUAAAUGAAAAUCGCAUCCAAAACUGGCCGUCAGUGCUUUCGUUGCGCUUUUUGCGUGACAUGAUCGAGAUCCCCAUGCAUUUAUUUCGAUUCCAGCCCAAUCAAUGUUGGUUUCCCGAGAAGAUCCUCCCAAGGCCAGGUGAUCGCGUUAAGGGAGCUCCUAACCGGCGCCUUAAGCGCCGGUUCAGGCAGCUGGCGCUCACACUCCGCAUCCCAUGGGCCGGCCCACCGCGCGCAGUAGAAGGAAAAAAGGUCUCGCGAAAAUAACACAAAUCGAGAUCCCUAUGGUAAAUGAAAAUCGCAUCCAAAACUGGCCGUCAGUGCUUUCGUUGGGCUUUUUGCGUGACAUGAUCGAGAUCCCCAUGCAUUUAUUUCGAUUCCAGCCCAAUCAAUGUUGGUUUCCCGAGAAGAUCCUCCCAAGGCCAGGUGAUCGCGUUAAGGGAGCUCCUAACCGGCGCCUUAAGCGCCGGUUCAGGCAGCUGGCGCUCACACUCCGCAUCCCAUGGGCCGGCCCACCGCGCGCAGUAGAAGGAAAAAAGGUCUCGUGAAAAUAACACAAAAAACGAGCGGAUACAGCCACUCGAACUCACGCCUUGCGGCUACAACGCCAGAACCGUUUUGCUAACCACUACAACCUGGGAGCACCAGCGACAACAAGGAACGCGAACUAUUUAAGACCCAUGCAUCAGCGCUAUUUAUUAGAUUUGCGAAUUAUUAGAAAAAAUUAAUGUAGUUUUCGUUUUUUGUUCAUGGUUACAAAACGUGUUCAUAGUUUUCAAAUUUUGUUCACAAUUUUAAAUUGUUCAGUGUACAUAAAAAAAUGUUCAAUGGGUAUUUAAAUGGUUUUCAGCGCAUAUCACAAAAUUGUUCAAUGUGUAGUUAAAAAUUGUUCAGAUUAUAUUACAAAAAUGUUCAACGUAUAAAAUUUGUUCAUAUUAUAUAAAAAAGUAUAAAAUGUUUUAAAAUAUUUCAAUGUAUAUCACAAAAAUGUUCGCUGUGUAGUUAAAAAUUGUUCAUCGUACACCGAAAAAAUGUUCAGUGUAUAUUUGAAAAUCUCUAGUCAUAUAUAAAUUUUUGUUCACGUUCUCAAUAAUUGUUCACGUCUUAAAAGUUCAUGGAAUUUUAAAAUUGACAUCGAAUUUUUAAAAAAGUUCAUCGAUUUGAUAAAAGUUCAUUCAAUUUUAAAACUUUCAUGAUUUUUAAAAAGAAAAUAAAAAAGGAAAAUGAGAAAAGAAAAAGAAAAAACGAACCAAAAAAACGCCCAGAAAUAAGCAAGCAGUGAAAGCUGGUUUGGUGGGCUCUCGCGGCCUACGCAAAUAAAAGAAGAAAAUAAGUAAAAGGACACAAUCGGUACGGGUGGUCUGUUCGUUAGUGAGCUGCUGCUUCACCUGAGAGAUCGCGAGUUCAAGCCCUCACAUUUGAAAUAAGGUUUUUUUCUGCAGUUUUUAAUUAUUAUUAUUUUUUUUGAGGGGAAAAAACCAAGUUUAUUCAGUAAAUUUCACAUGAAGUGGGAUACAUCUCUGGUCAUAAGGAGCGCCAAACCUGGCGUCCAGGACCUCUCGAGAGGGAGAACUUGGCUAAACUAUGUGCUGCAUAAUUGACAACACGACUCUCAAAAGAAAAAAUACAUUGAAAGAAAGAAGCUCUAAGGUUUACUUCCGCGAUAAUCGCUCCAUACGUCCCGUGUGACCUCCUGUUGAUAUCUGAAACGACUUGUUGACAGUCUGAUGCGAUAACAAAAUUCUGAAUGCCCAUGUCUUCCGCAAGGGAUAAUGCCUCCCGGCAAGCUAUAGCUUCAAGUGUGGCCGGGUCUUCGACUCCUUCGAUCACUAGGGCCGAACUGCCCAUAUAGUUACCAUCCGCAUCUCUGCACACAGCUGCUGCAGAACCUCCUCUUCUUGCCAUAACUCUCGCAUCCACAUGAAUCUUGCAAUAUCCCGGCGGUGGUUUCUUCGGCCGUCUCUGAACUGGUACCCCGGUCUCUGGUGCAGUGCCCCGCUCUGGUUCCUUAGCCUUUAUGGUGUCUAGUUCUGCAAUGAACCGACCUAUAAAUCCGAAGGUAGAUUGGGGACUCUGAAAAAUGGAUUCAUGAAUAGCUUUGCGUCGGGCAUGCCAUAUAGACCACAAUGUGACUGCUGCGAGGGUGAACUGAUCGUGUGAUAGCCCUUGCAUGAGGGUAAAUAGCCACUCCCUUGCGCUUGGCUCCGUGCUCCCCAUCAUUUUAUGUGUGAUAUCCUCAUCGAUGAGCGCCCAAACACUCCUUGAUGAUGAACACUCUAGUAAUGAAUGACGCCACGAAUCCCGAUUACUACAAAGCCCGCAUUGGUCGGAGUCAGCCAUGUGCCUCUUUGCUCUGACAUCGUUUGUUGGGAUGGAGUGCUUCGAGAGUCUCCAUAAGAACAUUCGAAUUUUCCCGGGCACCUCCGUCCGCCAUAGUUUCUCCCAGGCUCCCUCCUCUGCUAUGGAGUUAGAUGGUCUCGCCGACCCUUCUAACCAAGCCUCCCUUCUUAUUUUGGUUGCAACAAGCAUUCUGUACGCUGACUUGACAGUAAAAACUCCAUGUUCCUCGUAGUACCAAGCCCAAAAGUCACUUAUGUUUCUUGUGCAUAGAGGGAUUGCUAGUACAAUUUGUGCAUCAAUUGGCAUAAGGUGUUCUUGCACCAGUUGCUUGUUCCAUGAUGCCGUGGCGCCAAUGAUUAGCUCAGACACCCUAGUGGGCGGGUUUUGGGUUAUGCUUCCCAAGGGUCGGAACAUCCCCUCACGGGGCAGCCAGUUCUGAUCCCAAAUAUGUGUUGUUUCUCCAUUGCCAAUCCGUUUGAUCAAACCCUGACGCAAUGUGUCCUGCCCUCCAUGAUAGCUCUCCACACUUGGCUUGGGUGGCUCCCAAGUUCAGCCGUCAGGAUAUCCGAGUUGGGGUAAUAUAUACUUUUCAAAAUACGUGCACUUAGGGUUUCUGGAUUCUGAAGCAGCCUCCAUGCUUGUUUUGCCAACAUUGCUAGGUUAAAGAGCUCAAAGUCUUUGAAGCCCAAGCCCCCAUACUCUUGGGCUGCGUCAUAGUUUUCCAGGAGACCCAAUGAGGCUUCUNNNNNNNNNNNNNNNNNNNNNNNNNNNNNNNNNNNNNNNNNNNNNNNNNNNNNNNNNNNNNNNNNNNNNNNNNNNNNNNNNNNNNNNNNNNNNNNNNNNNNNNNNNNNNNNNNNNNNNNNNNNNNNNNNNNNNNNNNNNNNNNNNNNNNNNNNNNNNNNNNNNNNNNNNNNNNNNNNNNNNNNNNNNNNNNNNNNNNNNNNNNAUUUCCUAAUAAGCAUGUUCAGAUGUUCACAUAAACCUCUUGGGAGCUUGAAGCAAGACAUAGAAAAAACCGGGACUCCCUGUGCCACAGAUUUCACCAACACUUCCUUCCCUGCGGAGGAGAUAGUGCGUUCAAUCCAGCCCUGAACCUUACUCCACAGACGGUCUUUUAAAUACUUAAAAGCACCGUUUUUUGAGCUCCCUACAUCAGAAGGCAUACCCAGGUAUUUCUCAUUCAGUGUCUCAUUAGGAACAUGGAGUAUUUCUGCAGUUUUUAAAUAGAAAGAAAAAGAAGGAAACGGGUGUUGGGGAACGUUGCAGAAAAUUAAAAUUUUUCCUACGGUUUCACCAAGAUCCAUCUAUGAGUUCAUCUAAGCAACGAGUCAAGGGAGAGACUUUGCAUCUACAUACCACUUGUAGAUCACGAGCGGAAGCUUGCCAAGGAGAUGGUGAUGAUGGAGUCGUACUCGAACGUGAUUCGGAUCACCGAUGUCCUAGUGCUGAACGGACAGCACCUCCGCGUUCAACACACGUACGGGACGGGAGACGUCUCCUCCGUCUUGAUCCAGCAAGGAGGAAGGAGAGGUUGAGGAAGGCAGCUCCAACGGCAGCACGACGGCGUGGUGCAGUUGACGCGACAGUAUUCCGACAGGGCUUCGCCAAGCACGUACGGAGGAGGAGAUGUGUUGGGGAGGGGAGGGGCUGCGCCUUGAGUUAUAGUGUAUUGCAGCCCUCCCCUCACCCCUCUAUAUAUAGGGGAAAGGGCAAGGGGGGCCAGCCCUCUAGGGAAAACCCUAGGGGGGGGCGGCGGCCAAGGGGUGGGGGGCUUGCCCCCCAAGCAAGGGGGGUGCGCCCCCUUUAGGGUUUCCCCCCCACCCCUAGGCGCAAGGGCCCAAGGAGGGGGGCGCGCCAAGCCCACUAGGGGUUGGCUGCAAUCCCCACGCAGCCCAAGUGGCCCCCCGGGAGGGGUGGCCCCUCCCGGUGGACCCCCGGAUUCCUUCCGGUGGUCCUGGUACAAUACCGGUAUGACCCCGAAACUUUCCGGUGCCUGUCUAACAACUUCCCAUAUAUAAAACUUUACCUCCGGACCAUUCCGGAACUCCUCGUGACGUCCGGGAUCUCAUCCGGGACUCCGAACAACAUUCGGUAGUCACAUACUAGUCUUCCUAACAACCCUAGCGUCACCGAACCUUAAGUGUGUAGACCCUACGGGCUCGGGAGACAUGCAGACAUGACCGAGACCACUCUCGGGCAAUAACCAACAGCGGGGUCUGGAUACCCAUGUUGGCUCCCACAUGCUCCUCGAUGAUAUCAUCGGUUGAACCACGAUGUCGAGGAUUCGAUCAAACCCUGUAUACAAUUCCCUUUGUCAAUCGGUACGUUACUUGCCCGAGACUCGAUCGUCGGUAUCCCAAUACCUUGUUCAGUCUCGUUACCGGCAAGUCACUUUACUCGUACCGUAAUGCAUGAUCCCACGGCCAACACCUUGGUCACCUUGAGCUCAUUAUGAUGAUGCAUUACCGAGUGGGCCCAGAGAUACCUCUCCGUCAUACGGAGUGACAAAUCCCAGUCUCGAUCUGCAUAAAACAAUAGAUACUUUCGGAGAUACCUGUAGUGCACCUUUAUAGUCACCCAGUUACGUUGUGACGUUUGAUACACCCAAAGCACUCCUACGGUAUCCAGGAGUUACACGCUCUCAUGGUCAAAGGAAGAGAUACUUGACAUUGGCAAAGCUCUAGCAAACGAACUACACGAUCUUUGUGCUAUGCUUAGGAUUGGGUCUUGUCCAUCACAUCAUUCUCCUAAUGAUGUGAUCCCGUUAUCAACGACAUCCAAUGUCCAUAGCCAGGAAACCAUGACUAUCUGUUGAUCACAACGAGCUAGUCAACUAGAGGCUCACUAGGGACAUAUUGUGGUCUUUGUAUUCACACGUGUAUUAUGAUUUCCGGAUAAUACAGUUAUAGCAUGAAUAAAAGACAAUUAUCAUGAACAUAGAAAUAUAAUAAUACUUUUAUUAUUGCCUCUAGGGCAUAUUUCCAACAGUCUCCCACUUGCACUAGAGUCACCAAUCUAGUUACAUUGUGAUGAAUCGAACACCCAUAGAGUUCUGGUGUUGAUCAUGUUUUGCUCGCGAGAGAGGUUUAGUCAACGGAUCUGCGACAUUCAGAUCCGUAUGUACUUUGCAAAUUUCUAUGUCUCCAUCUUGAACAUUUUCACGGAUGGAGUUGAAACGACGCUUGAUGUGCCUGGUCUUCUUGUGAAACCUGGGCUCCUUGGCAAGGGCAAUAGCUCCAGUGUUGUCACAGAAGAGUUUGAUUGGCCCCGACGCAUUGGGUAUGACUCCUAGGUCGGUGAUGAACUCCUUCACCCAAAUAGCUUCAUGCGCUGCCUCCAAGGCUGCCAUGUACUCCGCUUCACAUGUAGAUCCCGCCACGACGCUCUACUUGCAGCUGCACCAGCUUACUGCUCCACCAUUCAACAUAUACACGUAUCCGGUUUGUGACUUAGAGUCAUCCAGAUCUGUGUCGAAGCUAGCGUCGACGUAACCCUUUACGACGAGCUCUUCGUCACCUCCAUAAACGAGAAACAUGUCCUUUGUCCUUUUCAGGUACUUCAGGAUAUUCUUGACCGCUGUCCAGUGUUCCUUGCCGGGAUUACUCUGGUAUCUUGCUACCAAACUCACGGCAAGGUUUACAUCAGGUCUGGUACACAGCAUGGCAUACAUAAUAGAUCCUAUGGCUGAAGCAUAGGGGAUGACACUCAUCUCUUCUUUAUCUUUUGCCGUGGUCGAUGACUGAGCUGAGCUCAAUCUCACACCUUGUAACAUAGGCAAGAACCCUUUCUUGGACUCAUCCAUUUUGAACUUUUUCAAAAUCUUAUCAAGGUAUGUGCUUUGUGAAAGACCUAUGAGGCGUCUCGAUCUAUCUCUAUAGAUCUUGAUGCCUAAUAUAUAAGCAGCUUCUCCAAGGUCCUUCAUUGAAAAACAUUUGUUCAAGUAGGCCUUAAUGCUGUCCAGAAAUUCUAUAUUAUUUCCCAUCAAGAGUAUGUCAUCCACAUAUAAUAUGAGAAAUGCUACAGAGCUCCCACUCACUUUCUUGUAAACGCAGGCUUCUCCAUAAGUCUGCAUAAACCCAAACGCUUUGAUCAUCUCAUCAAAGCGAAUAUUCCAACUCCGAGAUGCUUGCACCAGCCCAUAAAUGGAUCGCUGGAGCUUGCAUACUUUGUUAGCGUUCUUAGGAUCGACAAAACCUUCCGGCUGCAUCAUAUACAGCUCUUCCUUAAGAUACCCAUUAAGGAAUGCCGUUUUGACGUCCAUCUGCCAUAUCUCAUAAUCAUAGUAUGCGGCAAUUGCUAACAUGAUUCGGACGGACUUAAGCUUCGCUACCGGAGAGAAUGUCUCGUCGUAGUCAAUCCCUUGAACUUGUCGAUAACCCUUAGCGACAAGUCGAGCUUUAUAGAUGGUGACAUUACCAUCCGCAUCCGUCUUCUUCUUAAAGAUCCAUUUGUUUUCUAUCGCUCGCCGAUCAUCGGGCAAGUCAGUCAAAGUCCAUACUUUGUUUUCAUACAUGGAUUCUAUCUCGGAUUUCAUGGCUUCUAGCCAUUUGUUGGAAUCUGGGCCCGCCAUCGCUUCUUCAUAGUUCGAAGGUUCACCGUUGUCUAACAACAUGAUUUCCAGGACAGGGUUGCCGUACCACUCUGGUGCGGAACGUGUCCUUGUGGACCUACGAAGUUCAGUAGCAACUUCAUCCGAAGUACCUUGAUCAUCAUCAUUGGUUUCCUCUUCAGUUGGUGUGAGCAUCAUAGGAACAUUUUCCUGAGCUGCACCACUCUCCCGUUCGAGAGGUAGUACUUCAUCGAGUUCUACUUUCCUCCCACUUACUUCUUUCGAGAGAAAUUCUUUUUCCAGAAAGCAUCCGUUUUUGGCAACAAAGAUCUUGCCUUCGGAUCUUAAGUAGAAGGUAUACCCUACAGUUUCCUUAGGGUAUCCUAUGAAGACGCAUUUUUCCGACUUGGGUUCGAGCUUUUCAGGUUGAAGUUUCUUGACAUAAGCAUCGCAUCCCCAAACUUUUAGAAACGACAGCUUAGGUUUCUUCCCAAACCAUAAUUCUGUAGGGUUUCGUAGUAAUUUCAAAAAAUUUCCUACGCACACGCAAGAUCAUGUGAUGCAUAGCAACGAGGGGAGAGUGUUGUCUACGUACCCAACACAGACCGACUGCGGAAGCGAUGACACGACGUAGAGGAAGUAGUCGUACGUCUUCACGAUCCAACUGAUCAAGCACCGAAACUACGGCACCUCCGAGUUCGAGCACACGUUCAGCUCGAUGACGAUCCCCGGACUCCGAUCCAGCAAAGUGUCGGGGAAGAGUUCCGUCAGCACGAUGGCGUGGUGACGGUCUUGAUGAACUACAGCAGCAGGGCUUCGCCUAAACUCCGCUACAGUAUUAUCGAGGUAUAUGGUGGCAGGGGGCACCGCACACGGCUAAGGAAUAGAUCACGUGGAUCAACUUGUGUCAACUUGUGUAUCUAUGGGGUGCCUCUACCUCAGUAUAUAAAGGAGCCAAGGGGGGAGGGGGCGCCGGCCAAGAGAGAGAGGCGCAGGAGGAGUCCUACUCCUACCGGGAGUAGGACUCCCCCCCCAAUCCUAUUCCAACUAGGAUUCCCAAGGGGGAAAGAGGGAGAGGGGUGGCCGGCCACCUCUCCUAGUCCUAAUAGGACUAGGGGAAGGGGGGAGGCGCGCAGCCCCCUGGGGCUGCCCCUUUCUCCUUUCCACUAAGGCCCAUGUAGGCCCAUAUGGCUCCCGGGGGGUUCCGGUAACCUCCCGGUAACCCGGUAAAAUCCCGAUUUCACCCGGAACACUUCCGAUGUCCAAACAUAGGCUUCCAAUAUAUCAAUCUUUAUGUCUCGACCAUUUUGAGACUCCUCGUCAUGUCCGUGAUCACAUCCGGGACUCCGAACAACCUUCGGUACAUCAAAAUGCAUAAACUCAUAAUAUAACUGUCAUCGUAACCUUAAGCGUGCGGACCCUACGGGUUGGAGAACAAUGUAGACAUGACCGAGACAUGUCUCUGGUCAAUAACCAAUAGCGGGAACUGGAUGCCCAUAUUGGCUCCUACAUAUUCUACGAAGAUCUUUAUCGGUCAGACCGCAUAACAACAUACGUUGUUCCCUUUGUCAUCGGUAUGUUACUUGCCCGAGAUUCGAUCGUCGAUAUCCAAUACCUAGUUCAAUCUCGUUACCGGCAAGUCUCUUUACUCGUUCCGUAAUACAUCAUCUCACAACUAACAUAUUAGUUGUAAUGCUUGCAAGGCUUAUGUGAUGUGUAUUACCGAGAGGGCCCAGAGAUACCUCUCCGACAAUCGGAGUGACAAAUCCUAAUCUCGAAAUACGCCAACCCAACAUCUACCUUUGGAGACACCUGUAAUGCUCCUUUAUAAUCACCCAGUUACGUUGUGACGUUUGGUAGCACCCAAAGUGUUCCUCCGGUAAACGGGAGUUGCAUAAUCUCAUAGUCAUAGGAACAUGUAUAAGUCAUGAAGAAAGCAAUAGCAACAUACUAAAUGAUCAGGUGCUAAGCUAAUGGAAUGGGUCAUGUCAAUCAGAUCAUUCAACUAAUGAUGUGACCUCGUUACUCAAAUAACAACUCAUUGUUCAUGGUCAGGAAACAUAACCAUCUUUGAUUAACGAGCUAGUCAAGUAGAGGCAUACUAGUGACACUUUGUUUGUCUAUGUAUUCACACAUGUAUUAUGUUUCCGGUUAAUACAAUUCUAGCAUGAAUAAUAAACAUUUAUCAUGAAAUAAGGAAAUAAAUAAUAACUUUAUUAUUGCCUCUAGGGCAUAUUUCCUUCAGUCUCCCACUUGCACUAGAGUCAAUAAUCUAGUUCACAUCGUCAUGUGAUUUAACACUAAUAUUCAUAUCUGUAUAUGAUUAACACCCAUAGUUCACAUCAUCAUGUGACCAACACCCAAAGGGUUUACUAGAGUAAAUAAUCUAGUUCACAUCGCUAUGUGAUUAACACCCAAAGAGUACUAAGGUGUGAUCAUGUUUUGCUCGUGAAAGAAGCUUAGUCAACGGGUCUGUCACAUUCAGAGUUGUAUGCAUUUUGCAAAUAUUCUAUGUCUACAAUGCUCUGCACGGUGCUACUCUAGCUAAUUGCUCCCACUUUCAAUAUGUAUCCAGAUUGAGACUUAGAGUCAUCUGGAUCGGUGUGAAAACUUGCACCGAGGUAACUUUUACGACGGGCUCUUUUAUCACCUCCAUAAUCGAGAAAUAUUUCCUUAGUCCUCACUAAGGAUAUUCUUGACCAAUGUCCAGUGAUCUACUCCUAGAUCACUAUUGUACUCCCUUGUCAAAUACUGAGCAAGGUAUACAAUAGUUCUGGUACAUAGCAUAGCAUACUUUAUGGAACCUAUGACUGAGGCAUAGGGAAUGACUUUUCAUUUUUUCUAUUUUCUGCUGUGGUCGGGAUUUGAGUCUUACUCAAUUUCAUACCUUUGCAACACAGGCAAGAACUCUUUCUUUGACUGUUCCAUUUUGAACUAUUUCAAAAUCUUGCCAAGGUAUGUACUCAUUGAAAAUCUUAUCAAGCGUCUUGAUCUAUCUCAAUAGAUCUUGAUGCUUAAUAUGCAAGUAGCUUUUACUGAGGUCUUUUCCUUUUAAAGAACUCCUUUAAAACACUCCUUUAUGCUUUGCAGAAAAAUUCUACAUCAUUUCUGAUCAACAAUAUGUCACUCACAUAUACUAAUCAGAAAGGCUGUAGUGCUCCCACUCACUUUAUUGUAAAUACAGGCUUCUCAAAAGGUCUGUAUAAAACCAUAUGCUUUGAUCAACUCAUCAAAGCGUAUAUUCCAACUCCGAGAGGCUUGCACCAGUCCAUAGAUGGAUCGCUGGAGCUUGCACAUUUUGUUAGCACCUUUAGGAUUGACAAAACCUUCUGGUUGCAUCAUAUACAACUCUUCUUUAAUAAAUCCAUUAAGGAAUGCAGUUUUGUUUAUCCAUUUGCCAGAUUUCAUAAAAUGCGGCAAUUGCUAACAUGAUUCGGACAGACUUAAGCAUAGAUACGAGUGAGAAAAUCUCAUCGUAGUCAACACCUUGAACUUGUCGAAAACCUUUUGCGACAAUUCUAGCUUUGUAGAUAGUAACACUACUAUCAGCGUCCGUCUUCCUCUUGAAGAUCCAUUUAUUCUCAAUUGCUUGCUGAUCAUCGGGCAAGUCAACCAAAGUCCAAACUUUGUUCUCAUACAUGGAUCAUAUCUCAGAUUUCAUGGCCUCAAACCAUUUCGCGGAAUCUGGGCUCAUCAUCGCUUCUUCAUAGUUCGUAGGUUCAUCAUGAUCUAGUAGCAUGACUUCCAGAACAGGAUUACCGUACCACUCUGGCGCGGAUCUUACUCUGGUUGAUCUACGAGGUUCAGUAGUAUCUUGUUCUGAAGUUUCAUGAUCAUCAUCAUUAGCUUCCUCACUAACUGGUGUAGGUGUCAGAGAAACAGUUUUCUAUGAUGUACUACUUUCCAAUAAGGGAGCAGGUACAGUUACCUCGUCAAGUUCUACUUUCCUCCCACUCACUUCUUUCAAGAGAAACCCCUUCUCCAGAAAGUUUCCGAAUUUAGCAACAAAAGUCUUGCCUUCGGAUCUGUGAUAGAAGGUGUAUCCAAUAGUUUCCUUUGGAUAUCCUAUGAAGACGCACUUCUCCGAUUUGAGUUUGAGCUUAUCAGGAUGAAACUUUUUCAUAUAAGCAUCGCAACCCCAAACUUUAAGAAACGACAGCUUAGGUUUCUUGCCAAACCAUAGUUCACAUGGUGUCGCCUCAACGGAUUUAGAUGGUGCCCUAUUUAACGUGAAUGUAGCUGUCUUUAAUGCAUAACCCCAAAACGAUAGUGGUAGAUCGGUAAGAGACAUCAUAGAUUGCACUAUAUCCAAUAAAGUACGGUUAUGACGUUCGGACACACCAUUAUGCUGUGGUGUUCCAUGUGGCAUGAGUUUGUGAAACUAUUCCACAUUGUUUUAAUUGAAGACCAAACUCGUAACUCAAAUAUUUGUCUCCGCGAUCAGAUCAUAGAAACUUUAUUUUCUUGUCACGAUGAUUUUCCACUUCACUCUGAAAUUCUUUGAACUGUUCAAAUGUUUCAAACUUAUGUUUCAUCAAGUAGAUAUCCCCAUAUCUGCUCAAAUCAUAUGUGAAGGUCAGAAAAUAAUGAUACCUGCUGCAAGCCUUAAUAUUCACCGGACCACAUACAUCAGUAUGUAUGAUCUCCAACAAAUCUGUUGCUUGUUUCAUUGUUCCGGAGAACAGCGUUUUAGUCAUCUUGCCCAAAAGGCAUGGUUCGCAAGCAUCAAGUGAUUCAUAAUCAAGUGAUUCCAAAAUCCCAUCAGCAUGGAGUUUCUUCAUGCGCUUUACACCAAUAUGACCUAAACGGUAGUGCUACAAAUAAGUUGCACUAUCAUAAUUAACUUUGCAUCUUUUGGUUUCAAUAUUAUGAUUAUGUGUAUCACUACGAUCGAGAUCCAACGAACUAUUUUCAUUGGGUGUGUAACCAUAUAAGGUUUUAUUCAUGUAAACAGAACAACAAUUUAUUCUCUUACUUAAAUGAAUAACCGUAUUACAAUAAACAUGAUCAAAUCAUAUUCAUGCUCAACGCAAACACCAAAUAACACUUAUUCAGGUUCAACACUAAUCCCGAAAGUAUAGGGAGUGUGCGAUGAUGAUCAUAUCAAUCUUGGAACCACUUCCAACACACAUCGUCACUUCACCCUUAACUAGUCUCUGUUUAUUCUGCAACUCCCGUUUCGAGUUACUAAUCUUAGCAACUGAACUAGUAUCAAAUACUGAGGGGUUGCUAUAAACACUAGUAAAGUACACAUCAAUAACAUGUAUAUAAAAUAUACUUAUGUUCACUUUGCCAUCCUUCUUAUCUGCCAAUCACUUGGGGUAGUUCCGCUUCCAGUGACCAGUCCCUUUGCAGUAGAAACACUUAGUCUCAGGCUUAGGACCAGACUUGGGCUUCUUCACUUGAGCAGCAACUUGCUUGCCGUUCUACUUGAAGUUCCCUUCUUCCCUCUGCCCUUUUCUUGAAACUAGUGGUCUUGUCUACCAUCAACACUUGAUGUUUUUCUCGAUUUCUACCUUCGUCAAUUUCCGCAUUAUGAAGAGCUUGGGAAUCGUUUCCGUUAUCCCUUGCAUAUCAUAGUUCAUCACGAAGUUCUACUAACUUGGUGAUGGUGACUAGAGAAUUCUGUCAAUCACUAUCUUAUCUGGAAGAUUAACUCCCACUUGAUUCAAGCGAUUGUUGUACUCAGACAAUCUGGGCACAUGCUCACUAGUUGAGCGAUUCUCCUCCAUCUUUUAGCUAUAGAACUUGUUGGAGACUACAUAUCUCUCAACUCGGGUAUUUGCUUGAAAUAUUAACUUCAACUCCUGGAACAUCUCAUAUGCUCCAUGACGUUCAAAACGUCUUUGAAGUCCCGAUUCUAAGCCAUUAAGCAUGGUGCACUAAACUAUCAAGUAGUCAUCAUAUUGAGCUAGCCAAACGUUCAUAACAUCUGCAUCUGCUCCUGCAAUAGGUCCGUCACCUAGCGGUGCAUCAAGGACAUAAUUCUUCUGUGCAGCAAUGAGGAUAAACCUCAGAUCACGGAUCCAAUCCGCAUCAUUGCUACUAACAUCUUUCAACAUGAUUUUCUCUAGGAACAUAUCAAAAUAAACACAGGGAAGCAACAACGCGAGCUAUUGAUCUACAACAUAAUUUGCAAAAUACUACCAGGACUAAGUUCAUGAUAAAUUUAAGUUCAAUUAAUCAUAUUACUUAAGAACUCCCACUUAGAUAGACAUCCCUCUAAUCCUCUAAGUGAUUACGUGAUCCAAAUCAACUAAACCAUGACCGAUCAUCACGUGAGAUGGAGUAGUUUUCAAUGGUGAACAUCGUUAUGUUGAUCAUAUCUACUAUAUGAUUCACGCUCGACCUUUCGGUCUCCGUGUUCCGAGGCCAUAUCUGUAUAUGCUAGGCUCGUCAAGUUUAACCUGAGUAUUCUGCGUGUGCAAAACUGGCUUGCACCCGUUGUAGAUGGACGUAGAGCUUAUCACACCCGAUCAUCACGUAGUGUCUGGGCACGACGAACUUUGGCAACGGUGCAUACUCAGGGAGAACACUUCUUGAUAAUUUUAGUGAGAGAUCAUCUUAUAAUGCUACCGUCAAUCAAAGCAAGAUAAGAUGCAUAAAAAGAUAAACAUCACAUGCAAUCAAUAUAAGUGAUAUGAUAUGGUCAUCAUCAUCUUGUGCUUGUGAUCUCCAUCUCCGAAGCACCGUCAUGAUCACCAUCGACACCGGCGCGACACCUUGAUCUCCAUCGUAGCAUUGUUGUCGUCUCGCCAAUCUUAUGCUUCCACGACUAUCACUACCGUUUAGUAAUAAAGUAAAGCAUUACAUCGCGAUUGCAUUGCAUACAAUAAAGCGACAACCAUAUGGCUCCUGCCAGUUGCCGAUAACUCGGUUACAAAACAUGAUCAUCUCAUACAAUAAAAUUCAGCAUUAUGCCUUGACCAUAUCACAUCACAACAUGCCCUGCAAAAACAAGUUAGACGUCCUCUACUUUGUUGUUGCAUGUUUUACGUGGCUGCUACGGGCUUAAGUAAGAACCAAUCUCACCUACGCAUCAAAACCACAACGAUAGUUUGUCAAAUAGACUCCGUUUUAACCUUCGCAAGGACCGGGCGUAGCCAUACUUGGUUCAACUAAAGUUGGAGAGACAGUCGCCCGCAAGCCAUCUCUGUGCAAAGCACGUCGAGGGAACCGGUCUCGCGUAAGCGUACGCGUAAGGUUGGUCCGGGUCGUCUCGUCCAACAAUACCGCCGAACCAAAGUAUGACAUGCUGGUAGGCAGUAUGACUUGUAUCGUCCACAACUCACUUGUGUUCUACUCGUGCAUAUAACAUCAACACAAAUAACCUAGGCUCGGAUGCCACUGUAGGGUUUCGUAGUAAUUUCAAAAAAAUUCCUACGCACACGCAAGAUCAUGUGAUGCAUAGCAACGAGGGGAGAGUGUUGUCUACGUACCCAACGUAGACCGACUGCGGAAGCGAUGACACGACGUAGAGGAAGUAGUCGUACGUCUUCACGAUCCAACCGAUCAAGCACCGAAACUACGGCACCUCCGAGUUCGAGCACACGUUCAGCUCGAUGACGAUCCCCGGACUCCGAUCCAGCAAAGUGUCGGGGAAGAGUUCCGUCAGCACGACGGCGUGGUGACGGUCUUGAUGAACUACAGCAGCAGGGCUUCGCCUAAACUCCGCUACAGUAUUAUCGAGGUAUAUGGUGGCAGGGGGCACCGCACACGGCUAAGGAAUAGAUCACGUGGAUCAACUUGUGUCAACUUGUGUGUCUAUGGGGUGCCUCUACCUCAGUAUAUAAAGGAGCCAAGGGGGGAGGGGGCGCCGGCCAAGAGAGAGAGGCGCAGGAGGAGUCCUACUCCUACCGGGAGUAGGACUCCCCCCCCCAAUCCUAUUCCAACUAGGAUUCCCAAGGGGGAAAGAGGGAGAGGGGUGGCCGGCCACCUCUCCUAGUCCUAAUAGGACUAGGGGAAGGGGGGAGGCGCGCAGCCCCCUGGGGCUGCCCCUUUCUCCUUUCCACUAAGGCCCAUGUAGGCCCAUAUGGCUCCCGGGGGGUUCCGGUAACCUCCCGGUAACCCGGUAAAAUCCCGAUUUCACCCGGAACACUUCCGAUGUCCAAACAUAGGCUUCCAAUAUAUCAAUCUUUAUGUCUCGACCAUUUCGAGACUCCUCGUCAUGUCCGUGAUCACAUCCGGGACUCCGAACAACCUUCGGUACAUCAAAAUGCAUAAACUCAUAAUAUAACUGUCAUCGUAACCUUAAGCGUGCGGACCCUACGGGUUCGAGAACAAUGUAGACAUGACCGAGACAUGUCUCUGGUCAAUAACAAAUAGCGGGACCUGGAUGCCCAUAUUUGCUCCUACAUAUUCUACGAAGAUCUUUAUCGGUCAGACCGCAUAACAACAUACGUUGUUCCCUUUGUCAUCGGUAUGUUACUUGCCCGAGAUUGGAUCGUCGAUAUCCAAUACCUAGUUCAAUCUCGUUACCGGCAAGUCUCUUUACUCGUUCCGUAAUACAUCAUCUCACAACUAACAUAUUAGUUGUAAUGCUUGCAAGGCUUAUGUGAUGUGUAUUACCGAGAGGGCCCAGAGAUACCUCUCCGACAAUCGGAGUGACAAAUCCUAAUCUCGAAAUACGCCAACCCAACAUCUACCUUUGGAGACACCUGUAAUGCUCCUUUAUAAUCACCCAGUUACGUUGUGACGUUUGGUAGCACCCAAAGUGUUCCUCCGGUAAACGGGAGUUGCAUAAUCUCAUAGUCAUAGGAACAUGUAUAAGUCAUGAAGAAAGCAAUAGCAACAUACUAAACGAUCAGGUGCUAAGCUAAUGGAAUGGGUCAUGUCAAUCAGAUCAUUCAACUAAUGAUGUGACCUCGUUACUCAAAUAACAACUCAUUGUUCAUGGUCAGGAAACAUAACCAUCUUUGAUUAACGAGCUAGUCAAGUAGAGGCAUACUAGUGACACUUUGUUUGUCUAUGUAUUCACACAUGUAUUAUGUUUCCGGUUAAUACAAUUCUAGCAUGAAUAAUAAACAUUUAUCAUGAAAUAAGGAAAUAAAUAAUAACUUUAUUAUUGCCUCUAGGGCAUAUUUCCUUCAAAUUCAUAUGGUGUCGUCUCAACGGAUUUAGACGGUGCCCUAUUUAAAGUGAAUGUAGCUGUCUCUAGAGCGUAUCCCCAAAAUGAUAGCGGUAAAUCGGUAAGAGACAUCAUAGACCGCACCAUAUCCAAUAGAGUGCGAUUACGACGUUCGGACACACCGUUUCGCUGAGGUGUUCCAGGCGGCGUGAGUUGUGAAACGAUUCCACAUUUCCUUAAGUGUGUGCCAAAUUUGUGACUUAAGUAUUCUCCUCCACGAUCUGAUCGUAGGAACUUUAUCUUUCGGUCACGUUGAUUCUCCACCUCAUUCUGAAAUUCCUUGAACUUUUCAAAGGUCUCAGACUUGUGUUUCAUUAAGUAGACAUACCCAUAUCUACUUAAGUCAUCAGUUAGAGUGAGAACAUAACGAUAUCCUCCGCGAGCCUCGACGCUCAUUGGACCGCACACAUCGGUAUGUAUGAUUUCCAACAAGUUGGUUGCUCGCUCCAUUGUUCCGGAGAACGGAGUCUUGGUCAUUUUGCCCAUGAGGCAUGGUUCGCAUGUGUCAAACGAUUCAUAAUCAAGAGACUCCAAAAGUCCAUCAGCAUGGAGCUUCUUCAUGCGCUUGACACUAAUGUGACCAAGGCGGCAGUGCCAUAAGUAUGUGGGACUAUCGUUAUCAACUUUACAUCUUUUGGCAUCUACACUAUGAACAUGUGUAAUAUUACGCUCGAGAUUCAUUAAGAAUAAACCAUUGACCAUCGGAGCAUGACCAUAAAACAUAUCUCUCAUAUAAAUCGAACAACCAUUAUUCUCAGAUUUAAAUGAGUAGCCAUCUCGUAUUAACCGAGAUCCAGAUACAAUAUUCAUGCUCAAACUUGGCACUAAAUAACAAUUAUUGAGGUUCAAAACUAAUCCCGUAGGUAAAUGUAGAGGCAGCGUGCCAACGGCGAUCACAUCGACUCUGGAACCAUUCCCGACGCGCAUCGUCACCUCGUCCUUCGCCAGUCUCCGUUUAUUCCGCAGCUCCUGUUGUGAGUUACAAAUAUGAGCAACGGCACCGGUAUCAAAUACCCAGGAGUUACUACGAGUACUGGUAAGGUACACAUCAAUUACAUGUAUAUCAAAUAUACCUUUGGUGUUGCCGGCCUUCUUAUCCGCUAAGUAUUUGGGGCAGUUCCGCUUCCAGUGACCCUUCCCCUUGCAAUAAAAGCACUCAGUCUCAGGCUUGAGUCCAUUCUUUGACUUCUUCCCGGCAACUGGCUUACCGGGCGCGGCAACCUCCUUGCCGUCCUUCUUGAAGUUCUUCUUACCCUUGCCCUUCUUGAACUUAGUGGUCUUAUUGACCAUCAACACUUGAUGUUCUUUCUUAAUUUCAACCUCCGCUGACUUCAGCAUAGAAAAUACUUCAGGAAUGGUCUUUACCAACCCCUGCAUAUUGUAGUUCAUCAUAAAGCUCUUGUAGCUUGGUGGGAGCGACUGGAGGAUUCUGUCAAUGACCGCCUCAUCUGGGAGGUUAAUAUUCAGCUGGGUCAUACGGUUGUGUAACCCAGACAUCUUCAGGAUGUGUUCACUGAUAGAACUAUUUUCCUCCAUCUUACAACUGUAGAACUUGUCGGAGACAUCAUAUCUCUUGACCCGGGCGUGAGCUUGGAAAACUAGUUUCAGCUCUUCGAACAUCUCAUAUGCUCCGUGAUGCUCAAAACGCUUUUGGAGCCCCGGUUCUAAGCUGUAAAGCAUGCCGCACUGAACGAGGGAGUAAUCAUCAGCACGAGUUUGCCAAGCAUUCAUAAUGUCUUGGUUCUUUGGGAUGGGAGCGUCACCUAGCGGUCCUUCUAGGACAUAUUGUUUCCUGGCAGCUAUGAGGAUGAUCCUCAGGUUCCGGACCCAGUCCGUAUAGUUGCUGCCAUCAUCUUUCAGCUUGGUUUUCUCUAGGAACGCGUUGAAGUUCAUGUUGACAUGAGCGUUGGCCAUUUGAUCUACAAGACAUAUUUGCAAAGGUUUUAGACUAAGUUCAUGAUAAUUAAGUUCUAAUCAAAUUAUGAACUCCCACUUAGAUUAGACAUCCCUCUAGUCAUCUAAGUGUUACACGAUCCGAGUCGACUAGCCCGUGUCCGAUCAUCACGUGAGACGGACUAGUCAUCAUCGGUGAACAUUCUCAUGUUGAUCGUAUCUUUCAUACGACUCGUGUUCGACCUUUCGGUCUCCGUGUUCCGAGGCCAUGUCUGCACAUGCUAGGCUCGUCAAGUUAACCCUAAGUGUUUUCGCUGUGUAAAACUGUCUCACACCCGUUGUAUGUGAACGUAAGAAUCCAUCGCACCCGAUCAUCACGUGGUGCUUAGAAGCGACGAACUGUAGCAACGGUGCACAGUUAGGGGAGAACACUUCUUGAAAUUUUUGUAAGGGAUCAUCUUAUUUACUACCGUCGUCCUAAGUAAACAAGAUGCAUAAACAUAAUAAACAUCACAUGCAAUUAUAUAGUUGUGACAUGAUAUGGCCAAUAUCAUAUAGCUCCAUUGAUCUCCAUCUUCGGGGCUCCAUGAUCAUCUUGUCACCGGCUUGACACCAUGAUCUCCAUCAUCAUGAUCUCCAUCAUCGUGUCUUCAUGAAGUUGUCACGCCAACGACUACUUCUACUUCUAUGACUAACGCGUUUAGCAAUGAAGUAAAGUAAGUUACAUGGCGUUCUUCAAUGACACGCAGGUCAUACAAAAAUAAAGACAACUCCUAUGGCUCCUGCCGGUUGUCAUACUCAUCGACAUGCAAGUCGUGAAUCCUAUUACAAAGAACAUGAUCUCAUACAUCACAAUUCAUCAUUCAUCACAACUUCUAGCCAUAUCACAUCACUUGAUCAAUCGCUGCAAAAACAAGUUAGACGUCCUCUAAUUGUUGUUGCAUCUUUUACGUGGCUGCAAUUGGGUUCUAGCAAGAACGGUUUCUUACCUACGAAUAACCACAACGUGAUUUUGUCAACUUCUAUUUACCCUUCAUAAGGGCCCUUUUCAUCGAAUCCGCUCCAACUAAAGUGGGAGAGACAGACACCCGCCAGCCACCUUAUGCAACUAGUGCAUGUUCAUCGGUGGAACCGGUCUCACGUAAGCAUAUGUGUAAGGUUGGUCCGGGCCGCUUCAUCCCACAAUACCGCUGAAGCAAGAAAAGACUAGUACAGGCAAGCAAGAUGACAAGAUCCACGCCCACAACAAAAUUGUGUUCUACUCGUGCAAAGAGAACUACGCAUAGACCUGGCUCAUGAUGCCACUGUUGGGGAACGUUGCAGAAAAUUAAAAAUUUUCCUACGGUUUCACCAAGAUCCAUCUAUGAGUUCAUCUAAGCAACGAGUCAAGGGAGAGAGUUUGCAUCUACAUACCACUUGUAGAUCACGAGCGGAAGCUUGCCAAGGAGAUGGUGAUGAUGGAGUCGUACUCGAACGUGAUUCGGAUCACCGAUGUCCUAGUGCUGAACGGACAGCACCUCCGCGUUCAACACACGUACGGGACGGGAGACGUCUCCUCCGUCUUGAUCCAGCAAGGAGGAAGGAGAGGUUGAGGAAGGCAGCUCCAACGGCAGCACGACGGCGUGGUGCAGUUGACGCGGCAGUAUUCCGACAGGGCUUCGCCAAGCACGUACGAAGGAGGAGAUGUGUUGGGGAGGGGAGGGGUUGCGCCUUGAGUUAUGGUGUAUUGCAGCCCUCCCCUCACCCCUCUAUAUAUAGGGGAAAGGGCAAGGGGGGCCGGCCCUCUAGGGAAAACCCUAGGGGGGCGGCGGCCAAGGGGUGGGGGGCUUGCCCCCCAAGCAAGGGGGGUGCGCCCCCUUUAGGGUUUCCCCCCACCCCUAGGCGCAAGGGCCCAAGGAGGGGGGCGCGCCAAGCCCACCAGGGGCUGGCUGCAAUCCCCAUGCAGCCCAAGUGCCCCCCCGGGAGGGGUGGCCCCUCCCGGUGGACCCCCGGAUUCCUUCCGGUGGUCCCGGUACAAUACCGGUAUGACCCCGAAACUUUCCGGUGCCCGUUUAACAACUUCCCAUAUAUAAAACUUUACCUCCGGACCAUUCCGGAACUCCUCGUGACGUCCGGGAUCUCAUCCGGGACUCCGAACAACAUUCGGUAGUCACAUACUAGUCUUCCUAACAACCCUAGCGUCACCGAACCUUAAGUGUGUAGACCCUACGGGCUCGGGAGACAUGCAGACAUGACCGAGACCACUCUCGGGUAAUAACCAACAGCGGGGUCUGGAUACCCAUGUUGGCUCCCACAUGCUCCUCGAUGAUAUCAUCGGUUGAACCAUGAUGUCGAUGAUUCGAUCAAACCCUGUAUACAAUUCCCUUUGUCAAUCGGUACGUUACUUGUCCGAGACUCGAUCGUCGGUAUCCCAAUACCUUGUUCAGUCUCGUUACCGGCAAGUCACUUUACUCGUACCGUAAUGCAUGAUCCCGCGGCCAACACCUUGGUCACCUUGAGCUCAUUAUGAUGAUGCAUUACCGAGUGGGCCCAGAGAUACCUCUCCGUCAUACGGAGUGACAAAUCCAAGUCUCGAUCCGCAUAAAACAAUAGAUACUUUCGGAGAUACCUGUAGUGCACCUUUAUAGUCACCCAGUUACGUUGUGACGUUUGAUACACCCAAAGCACUCCUACGGUAUCCAGGAGUUACACGCUCUCAUGGUCAAAGGAAGAGAUACUUGACAUUGGCAAAGCUCUAGCAAACGAACUACACGAUCUUUGUGCUAUGCUUAGGAUUGGGUCUUGUCCAUCACAUCAUUCUCCUAAUGAUGUGAUCCCGUUAUCAACGACAUCCAAUGUCCAUAGCCAGGAAACCAUGACUAUUUGUUGAUCACAACGAGCUAGUCAACUAGAGGCUCACUAGGGACAUAUUGUGGUCUUUGUAUUCACAUGUGUAUUAUGAUUUCCGGAUAAUACAGUUAUAGCAUGAAUAAAAGACAAUUAUCAUGAACAUAGAAAUAUAAUAAUACUUUUAUUAUUGCCUCUAGGGCAUAUUUCCAACAACGGGCCGGCCCAGCGCGGUGCGGGGGUAUGCGCCCGUUUGCGGCAAGAGAAGAAACGGGCGCUUAAGGCGCAAUGCCUCGAGACCUCCUCGAUGGCGCCUUCAGCGCCCCGUAGCAUUGCUGGCGCUCACGCACCCCCAUAGUGGGCCGUGGCCCAUCGUUUGCUCGCUAGCUCUACCGCUGCUGCUCACUUGCUCAAUCGCUGCUAGCUAAAUCGUUGAUUGCUGCUCGCUCCUUUGCUAGCCAUUUAAAAAAAGUUCGCAAAUUUGAAAAAAAAAAUAUCAUAGCAUAUGAAAAAAGUUCAUUGAAUUUGAAAAAAGUUUAUCAGUUUUGGAAAAAAAUCAUCAAAUUUGAAAAAGCUCAUCGAAUUUGAAAAAAAGUUCAUCUGGUUUGAAAAAAGUUCAUUGGAUUUGACAAAAGUUCAUCGAAUUUGGAAAGAGUUCAUCGGACUUGUAAAAAAAGUCAUCUUAUUUGAAAAGUUCAUUUGAUUUGAAAAAAAGUUCAUUAAACUUAUAAAAAAGUUCAACAAGUUUGUAAAAAAGUACAUCAAAUUCAAAAAGGUUAAUCAAAUUUGAAAAAAAGUUCACCGAAUUCAAAAAAGGUUCGUCCAAUUUGAGAAAAAGUUCAUCAAACUUGUAAAGAAGUUCAUCAAUUUUGAAAAAAGAAGUUUGUUGAAUUUGAAAAAAAAAUCAUCAAACUAGAAAAGUGUUCACGAAUCUGAUAACGAAAAAUUGUUGUAUUAUUAAAAAGGUUUAGGAAAAAAGGUAAAAAUGGAAAUGAAUAAAAAUAGAAAAAAAAUUAACAAAACUGUUACAGCAAAAACGUAAGAAGAAAAGAAGGAAAGACCUAUAACUAAACACGUCAAGCAUAUUAAACUAGGCGGUCGCCAGUUAGAAUAACGGUACUUGCACUCGUUCUUUUUUGCCUCUUUAAAACAGAAAAAAGGANNNNNNNNNNNNNNNNNNNNNNNNNNNNNNNNNNNNNNNNNNNNNNNNNNNNNNNNNNNNNNNNNNNNNNNNNNNNNNNNNNNNNNNNNNNNNNNNNNNNNNNNNNNNNNNNNNNNNNNNNNNNNNNNNNNNNNNNNNNNNNNNNNNNNNNNNNNNNNNNNNNNNNNNNNNNNNNNNNNNNNNNNNNNNNNNNNNNNNNNNNNNNNNNNNNNNNNNNNNNNNNNNNNNNNNNNNNNNNNNNNNNNNNNNGGGGGGAUCUGGCCAUGUUAACCGCAUUAUCUCGACGCGAGUUUGGAUUUGAGCUCCAGGCUUGGCCUGUCUGGUCACAAUCACGAUCUAUUUGAGUGUAUGAGGUUUGUCGGCUACAUCUGAAGUCUCUGCGAAGGGUCUGAUCGCCAGAUCUAUUUCGUCGGAUUUUCAAUCCUGACGGUGGGCAGGUGAUCCAAGGCGCUCCCGGGCUUCGGUUGAACCGAGGCCUAGUGUUUCCGACGUAAGGGGUAUUGAUCGUCAAGAGACAUCAACCGCUCCUUCGUGGCCACACAUCGGGACCUGCAUGGGCCACAAAUGUGAGUGCUAAAAUCGGCAGAUUUUGGGUAGGGGGUCUCGAGCUGGUAAUCUUGGCACGAUGGUAACAGGACAAAGGGGGACACGAUCGUUUACCCAGGUUCGUGCCCUCUAUGUCCUACUUGUUUUGUAUUGAUUAUGGAUGGGAUACAAAGUAUAUGAUAAUCUACCUCGAGAUCGUAUAAAUAAGCUCGAGUAUAAAACCUUGUCUCUAAAGGCUAAACCCCUCGACUUAUGUAGGCACCAGGGGUAUCUAGGGUUAUAAGUAUGAUGACUACAACUAGGGAUAACAUGCCGAUCAUUUAAAUACGUCUUAAAGUGUACGACAAGUCUUCGGAGGAUUCCAUCUUGAGUACGUUACGAGACAGGGCAUGUGUGGCCCAUUCUUCGGUCGUCGGCUCUGCCCAACAAUGGUGGACCGAUGUGGUGUAGAUCCACUGAUUCAGGACAUCGUCUUCAGGUACCUGCUUUAGAUCUAUGAGGAGUUCAACGGCGAUAACGGCGGUUUCAGGGCGCUGGUCCUUAGAGGCUCGUGCACAAAGACUUUCCGGUUGUUCUUAGAAGGUCAAGCCAGCUCAGGUAGGAAAGCGACGACAGAGGCACACCAACUGUUUGUUCUGAAGGCAAUGGUGGUUGUUGAUGAUCUCGGAAUCUCAAUGUAAUUUUUUGUUAUCUUUGAGAUGUUUUGUAUUUUUGAUGAUUCCUUUUUGAUAAAUCGGAUCCUUUUCUUUUGAAAAAAAAGAAAAACUUGCUCCACUUCCGAGAUAUUUUUCUUCCAGUAGCAUUCAUGGGGCGGGCUUGCAAGUGCAACCGCACAGAUUUUUGGAAAGUGACGCUUGCGAGAGCUGACAAGUUAGGUGGCAGAACUAGUUAACUAGUACCCACGUGGUUGUGAGUAGUGCAUGCAACUGACUUUCGGUCUGUGGAAAAUGCAUGGAAGCUUGUAGAUUUCCACGAAGGAAGAGAAGAAAAAUGCCAACAUAACAUGUGAGACGCCGCGUCCGUCCCUCCCACCCCUAUAUAAACUCAUCAUCCAGUUUCAUCCAGCAGCAAAUCCAAGACACACACACACACACACACAAACUAGCUUAGCAGGUUGUCACUGAUCACCGUGGUCGACGAGAAGACGACGAUGGCGGUAAGGCUGAUGCUGGUGGCGGCGCUGCUGUGCGCGGCGGCGGCGGCGGCCGCGGCGCAGCAGGCGAACAACGUGCGCGCGACGUACCACUACUACCGGCCGGCCCAGAACAACUGGGACCUGGGCGCGCCGGCGGUGAGCGCCUACUGCGCGACCUGGGACGCCAGCAAGCCGCUGUCGUGGCGGUCCAAGUACGGGUGGACGGCGUUCUGCGGCCCCGCCGG